GGGAGUGAAUCAGCAUCGACGACAACAUCUUUUGACAAUCGCAAGCCGAGUUCGCUAGUCAACGCGUCAAUCCAGGCUAGCAUCAUGACAACUGCCAACGUCAUGUCAAAAAUUCGGAAUGCGUUUCGCAUGCCGAGUUUUGCUCCAUCCUUCGCUUAACGCGAACGUGUUGGACCGAUCACUUCUCGCGCGUCUCACGCAAGAAUGCUGAUUGUCAUCUAUUGAGACUUGCUCCGAUCGCUUGUUUCCACGAUCGAGGACAUGGCGGAAACUUGGCUCGCGCCUUCUCGCAUUCUCCAUGCGACGCGAACGACACCUUCGACGUGAGUUGAAGACUGAGAAUGCUAUGCUUGUGAACGAGGUUGCUAAAAAUUUUGCUCGGACAGGGGUGCGAUACCCCUCACUUCCACCA
rnacentral:tmRNA from 1 species